UAAUUUUAGUGGCGGACGGGUGAGUAACACGUGAGAAUUCGCCUUUAGGAGGGGGAUAACGGAUGGAAACAUUCGCUAAAACCCCAUAUGCCCCUGGGUGAAACAGAGGAGAUAAGUAAUACUGACUCUUACCUCUGCCUGAAGAGAAGCUCGCGGCUGAUUAGCUAGUUGGUAGGGUAAAGGCCUACCAAGGCGACGAUCAGUAGCUGGUCUGAGAGGACGAUCAGCCACACUGGAACUGAGACACGGUCCAGACUCCUACGGGAGGCAGCAGUGAGGAAUUUUCUGCAAUGGGCGAAAGCCUGACAGAGCAAUACCGCGUGAGGGAUGAAGACUUACUGAGUUGUAAACCUCGGUACCUUAAGGAAGAAGAUCUGACGGUACUUAAGGUGGAAAGCAUCGGCUAACUCCGUGCCAGCAGCCGCGGUAAGACGGGGGAUGCAAGUGUUAUCCGGAUUUACUGGGCGUAAAGCGUCUGCAGGUGGUUUUCUAAGUCUACUGUUAAAUCUUGAGGCUCAACCUCAAAUCUGCAGUAGAAACCAGAAGACUUGAGUAUAGUAGGGGUAGAGGGAAUUUCCAGUGGAGCGGUGAAAUGCGUAGAUAUUGGAAAGAACACCGAUGGCGAAGGCACUCUACUGGGCUAUUACUGACACUCAGAGACGAAAGCUAGGGGAGCAAAUGGGAUUAGAUACCCCAGUAGUCCUAGCCGUAAACGAUGGAUACCUCGAUGUUGGACGUAUCAACCCC
rnacentral:rRNA from 1 species